CCCGCCCCCGCCGCCGCUCCCCUCGCCGCCGCCGACAACCAGCAGCACGGCUGAAGCAUGCCGGCCUGCAUUUGUGGAAUAAAUUUAUAUAUUAUUAUAUAUACACUCAUCGUGACGUGCACUUUCCAUUCCUGGCUCAUAGUUUAUGCACGUCGUUAAUGAAUAAUGUGUUUGCCACUAUAUAUGUUAUUUUGUAUUGUACUCCUGGUAUAUGUUACCAUGACUUAUUACCAUCUAUAUUAAUAUUCCUCAGUGUUCUCUAAGUUAAUCUUUUCUUCAGGACAUCUCCCCCCUCUCUAUCUCUACACACACUAUAUUUAUUAAUACAUCAUAACAU
rnacentral:lncRNA from 1 species